rnacentral:rRNA from 1 species
GCCCGGUAGCUAAGUGCGGAAAAGAUAAGCGCUGAAAGCAUCUAAGCGCGAAACUUGCCUCGAGAUGAGUCUUCCCUGGGCCUUUAAGGCCCCUGAAGGAACGUUUAAGACUAAGACGUUGAUAGGCUGGGUGUGUAAGUGCAGCGAUGCAUUGAGCUAACCAGUACUAAUGAUCCGUGAGGCUUAACCUU